rnacentral:rRNA from 1 species
AUGAACGCUAGCGACAGGCUUAACACAUGCAAGUCGAGGGGCAGCACAGGUAGCAAUACCGGGUGGCGACCGGCGCACGGGUGAGUAACGCGUAUGCAACUUACCUAUCAGAGGGGGAUAACCCGGCGAAAGUCGGACUAAUACCGCAUGAAGCAGGGGCCCCGCAUGGGGAUAUUUGCUAAAGAUUUAUCGCUGAUAGAUAGGCAUGCGUUCCAUUAGGCAGUUGGCGGGGUAACGGCCCACCAAACCGACGAUGGAUAGGGGUUCUGAGAGGAAGGUCCCCCACAUUGGUACUGAGACACGGACCAAACUCCUACGGGAGGCAGCAGUGAGGAAUAUUGGUCAAUGGGCGCGAGCCUGAACCAGCCAAGUCGCGUGAGGGAUGAAGGUUCUAUGGAUCGUAAACCUCUUUUAUAAGGGAAUAAAGUGCGGGACGUGUCCCGUUUUGUAUGUACCUUAUGAAUAAGGAUCGGCUAACUCCGUGCCAGCAGCCGCGGUAAUACGGAGGAUCCGAGCGUUAUCCGGAUUUAUUGGGUUUAAAGGGUGCGUAGGCGGCCUUUUAAGUCAGCGGUGAAAGUCUGUGGCUCAACCAUAGAAUUGCCGUUGAAACUGGGGGGCUUGAGUAUGUUUGAGGCAGGCGGAAUGCGUGGUGUAGCGGUGAAAUGCUUAGAUAUCACGCAGAACCCCGAUUGCGAAGGCAGCCUGCCAAGCCAUGACUGACGCUGAUGCACGAAAGCGUGGGGAUCAAACAGGAUUAGAUACCCUGGUAGUCCACGCAGUAAACGAUGAUCACUAGCUGUUUGCGAUACACUGUAAGCGGCACAGCGAAAGCGUUAAGUGAUCCACCUGGGGAGUACGCCGGCAACGGUGAAACUCAAAGGAAUUGACGGGGACCCGCACAAGCGGUGGAGCAUGUGGUUUAAUUCGAAGCAACGCGAAGAACCUUACCAAGUCUUGACAUCCCACUGACCGGACAGUAAUGUGUCCUUUCCUUCGGGACAGUGGAGACAGGUGGUGCAUGGUUGUCGUCAGCUCGUGCCGUGAGGUGUCGGCUUAAGUGCCAUAACGAGCGCAACCCUUGCCACUAGUUACUAACAGGUAAAGCUGAGGACUCUGGUGGGACUGCCAGCGUAAGCUGCGAGGAAGGCGGGGAUGACGUCAAAUCAGCACGGCCCUUACAUCCGGGGCGACACACGUGUUACAAUGGCGUGGACAAAGGGAAGCCACCUGGCGACAGGGAGCGAAUCCCCAAACCACGUCUCAGUUCGGAUCGGAGUCUGCAACCCGACUCCGUGAAGCUGGAUUCGCUAGUAAUCGCGCAUCAGCCAUGGCGCGGUGAAUACGUUCCCGGGCCUUGUACACACCGCCCGUCAAGCCAUGGGAGCCGGGGGUACCUGAAGUCCGUAACCGCGAGGAUCGGCCUAGGGUAAAACUGGUGACUGGGGCU